CUCAUUUUCUCUUGCUGCUACCAUGGAAGAAGCGACUUUCGCCUCCCGCCGUGAUUCUGAGGCCUUUCCAGCCAUGUCAAACUCAAAAUGUGACUGAAAAACAGAAGCAUUUGGAAUACGUAACAGAAGUCAUUAAAAAGAGCCAUGUAAUAUGUGCCUGCUUCCCCUUCUGCCAUGAUUGUAAGUUUCCUGAUGCCUUCUCAGCCAUGCAGAACUACAGAGUUUUGCUCUUGUUGCCCAGGCUGGAGUGCAAUGGCACGAUCUCAGCUCACUGCAACCACCGCCUCCCGAGUUCAAGAGAUUCUCCUGCCUCAGCCUCCCGAGCAGCUGUGAUUACAGGCACCUGCCACCAUGCCAGGCUAACUUUUUUGUAUUUUUAGUAAAGACAAGGUUUUGCCACGUUGGCCAGGCUGGUCUCAAACUCCUGACCUCAGCUAAUCCACCUGUAUAGGCCUCCCAAAGUUCUGGGAUUACAGGCGUGAGCCACCAUGCCUGGCCAACUAUUUGUUUUCUUGAUCUUGUCCUGUGUGUGUGUGUGUGUGUGUGCACGUGCACACGCGUGUGCUAUGAAGCAUAGAAUUCAUAGAUUUAGAAAUCUGUAUUCUAGGAUCUAUUUUUUCACACUUCAAAUAUCCCACUAUGAGUUAUAUCAUGAUUAUUUGUUCACAUAUUUGCCUUCUCCUGAAACUAAACUUUUGGAAGAUGUGAAUCACAUGUUAUCUACGUUUUGUCUCCCAGAAACCUAUAUGUCUAGUUGGUAGUUGACCGUUGCCGGGUGAAAGCUCUAAAGCCUGACUGAACUCCUGAAUGAACAAAUAAAUGGAUAGGAUGAUAACCUAAGUAGUCUAAUAUCAGCACUUAGGUUGUUCUCUAAGUGAAGGAACUUAGAGAACUGCUACAAAGUCAUUGUAAUUGUAUACACGUGCUACACUUUGGAGAUUACUGCUAAAUAAAGAUCAAGUUAGUGUUUGUAUUUCCCCAGAGAAAAUAGAGAAUUGAAUCUCAAAGACAAGUUGUUGCUUUGGAGGUAGAAGAGGGUUUUAAUCAGCAAUGAGAAGAAAAAGAGUAAGAAAUGUAAUCUUCUACCCAAUCUCUAAGUUAAAUCAUUUUACCCUUUUAGACAUAUUCCUCAUAGUUUUCACAGAGGGAAAAGGGAAAAAGUAAUUCCCAUCAUUGCUUCCUGUUCCCCUGGCAGUCUCUAUAUUAAAGAUGCUGGACUGCAGAUCCUCACUGCUGAGGGAAAAUAUUAACCUCAUUCUCUCCAAACACAGUAUGAAGCCUAGAAAAUGUCCUUCCUCAUUUUGGAACUUAAGGUUGUGUACAGAACAGUCUUACAAUGACAGUGUUUAGAACUGUAAGAAAUCAUCAAAAUGAGGUAAGUCUUUGUGAGGUAGCUGUGGAGCUGAUUUUUGAAAGUAUUGCUGCCUAUGAUUUUGGAGGUGCAUCAUAUUGUCAGGAAAGGUCUAAUGUGCUUUUUAAGUUAUGAAAUUUUGGUGUCACAUUUGUCUUGUGGGCUGCAGAAAUAAAAAAUAGGUUGAUAAUUAUCUCUAAACUUUUUCUAUUUUUUUUCACAUUUAGGUGUAUGAAAGCAUUCUAAGUAGUAUUGACAUUUUAAAACUCAAACUAUCAUAAAAUUAGGUAAUCUAUUUUAAAUACUAACAAUGACAACUUUAUGUAUUUCAUUAUUUAAAUUAUAAUUCCAAAAUAUUAUUUCAAAUGCAAAACAUAAUAUUUUUAAAUAGCUAUAAAAUACUUUAUAAAUACAAUCAAUUGACAUAAAUUUAUAUUGUAAUCCUUAAAAUCAACUGAUAGUUGCUAUUUAGAAUAUUGAAUUCUACUUCUUAUUAGUGUUAUUAUAAAGAAAUAAUAUUAAUCAACAAAACCCAUCCUUCAACCUCCAUCUUAAUUUUGCUUUAGUGCAAGUGUCUCAUUCUCAGAAUGCAAUCCUGCAGGCUGCAAUGACAUGAUUCCUCUUCUCAAAGUCCCUAAAUUUUGCUUCUCAGUGUGUAUUGCUCUCAGUUAUUUUUAAAAUUUUUUUUGUUUCUUCAUUAUUGGCCUUUGGAAAACUGAAAGUGUUGAUAUUCACUAUUUCACUGUCACCUAGAUCUGAGAAACUUUUCUGCAUCCAAAAACUCCUCUCACUUAUUUUUCUUUUGCUGAUAUAUUGCACAAGUCAUAGUAGAGAGAGAGAAGGCAGAGUCAACCUGGGGAGCAUUUGACAGGUGGCAUUGAAAAUCUACUGCUUGACAAUAUUGAUUCUUCCUAUCCAUGAACAUGGAACGUUUUUCCAUUUGUUUAUGUCAUCUGUGAUUUCUUUAAACAAUGUUUUGUAGUUCUCAUUGUGGAGAUCUUUCAUCUUCCCGGUUAGAUGUAUUGCUAGGUAGCUUAUUCUUUUGUGGCUAUUGUGAAUGGAAUUGAAUUCUUGAUUUGGCUAUCAGCUUGGAUGUUGUUGGUGUACAAGAAUGCUACUAAUUUUUGUACAUUGAUUUUGUAUCCUGAAACUUUGCUGAAAUGGUUUAUCAGAUCAGGGAGCUUUGGGGCAGAGACUAUGGGGAUUUGCAGGUAUAGAAGCAUAUCAUCUACCAACAGAGAUAGUUUGACUUCCUCUCUUUCUAUUUGGAUGCUUUUUAUUUUAUUUCUUUCUCUUGCUUGAUUGCUCUGCCCAGUGCUUCCAAUUGUAUGUUGCAUAGGAAUGGUUAGAGAAGGCAACUUCUUCUUGUGCCGGUUUUCAAGGGGAAUGCUUCCAGCUUUCGCCUGUUCAGUAUGAUGUUGGCUGUGGGUUUGUCAUUAAUGGCUCUUACUAUUUAGAAGUAAGUUCUAUCAGUGCCUAGUUUGUUGAGGGUAUUGAACAUGAAGGGAGGUUGAAUUUUUUCAAAAGCCUUUUCUAUGUCUAUUGAGAUAAUCAUGUGGUUUUUGUUUUUAGUCCUGUUUAUAUGAUGAAUCACAUUAUUGAUUUGCGUAUGUUGAACCAAUGAGGCAUACCAGGGAUAACACCUACUUGAUCAUGGUGAAUUAGCGUUUUAAUGUGCUGCUAGAUUUGGUUUUUCAGUAUUUUAUUGAUCAUAAACACUUAUGUUGAUCAAGAAUAUUGGCCUGACGUUUUCUUUUGUUGUUGCUGUGUCUCUGCCUCUUUUUGGUAUCACCAUGAUGCUGGCCUUAUAGAAUGAGUUAGGGAGGGGUCCAUUCUUUUCAAUCUUUUGGAAUAAUUUCAGUAGGAAUGGCACCAGUUCUUCUUUUAUACUUCUAAUAGAAUUUGGCUGAAUCUAUCUGUUCCUGGGCUUUUUUUGUUGGUAGGCUUUUUUUUAUUAUUAUUACAGAUUCGGUUUUGGAACUUAUUAUUGGGCUGUUCAGAUUUCCAACUGCUUCCCGGUUCAGCCUUGGGAGCGUGUAUGUGUCCAGGAAUUUAUCCAUUUCUUCUGGUUUUCUAGUUUGUGUUCAUAGAGGUAUUUAUUGUAGUCUCUCUAACGGUUUUUUUUGUUUUGUUUUUGUUUGUUUGUUUUACUUCCCUGUGGGGUCAAUUGUAAUGUCCCCUUUGUCAUUUCAAAUUGUAUUUAUUUGGAUCUUCUCUCUUCUUUUAUUAUUCCAAUUAGUGAUCUGCCUUAUUAGUUUUUUCAGAAAAGAAACUUCUGGAUUCAUAUAUCUUUUGUAUGUUUUUUCACGUCUUAUUUUCCUUCAGUUCAGCUCUGAUUUUGAUUACUUCUUUUUUUCUGUUAGGUUUGAGGUUCGUUUGCUCUUGUUUCUCUAGUUCCUCUAGUUAUGAUGUUAGGUUGUAAUUUAAUCUCUUCCUAACUCUUUGAUGUGGACAUUUAGUUCUAGAAACUUCUUCAUCGAGUUAGCAAAAGCUAUUUUAAAAAUUAAUAUAGAACCACAAAGGAACCCAAAUAGCUCAGGUAAUCCUAAGCAAAAAGAAUAAAGCUGGAGACAUCAAGUUACCCAACUUCUAACUACACUACAAGGAUACAGUAACCAAGACAGCAUGCUACUGAGACAAAAACAGACACAUAUACCACAGGAAGAGAAUAGAGAGCCCAGAAAUAAGGCCACACAGCUGUAACCAUCUGAUCUUCAACAAAGUUGACAGAAGCAAGUGAAGGGGAAAGGACUCCCUAAUCAAUAAAUGGUGCUAGAAUAAGUUUCAAAAAAUUUCUUGAUUUCUGACUUUAUUUUAUUAUUUAACCAAAAGUCAUUCAGGAGCAGGUUGUUUAAUUCCAUCCAAUUGUAUAACUUUGAGUGAUUUUUUUGGUAUUGAUAUGUUUAUCUAUUUCUCUGUGAUCUGAGACUGUAGUUGGUAUGAUUUCAGGUUUUUUGUUAAUUUGCUGAGGAUUUUUUAUGUGCAGAAGAUUGAAACUUGAUUGCUUACAUUUACUGUAUAUAAAAAUCAACUGAAGAGGUACUAAAGAUUUAAAUGUAAAACCUGAAACUAUAAAAAUCCUAGAAGAAUAUCUAGAAAACCUAGGAAAUACCAUUCUGGACAUAGGUCCUGACAAAGGCUUUAUGACAAAGACUCCGAAUGCAAUUGCAACAAAACAAAAAAUUAGCAAAUGAGACCUAAUUAUCUAAAGAGCUUCUGCAUAGCAAAAGAAUCAUUCAAUCAAUAGAGUAUACAAGUAAUCUACUGAAUCAGAAAAAUAUUUGCACAUUAUGUAUCCAACAAAGGUUUAAUAUUCAGAAUCCCUAAGGAACUUAAAUAGAUAUGUAAGCAAAAAACAAACAACCCUAUUAAAAACUGAGCAAAGGACAUGAAUAGGUGCUUUUCAAAAGAAAACAUAUACGCAACAAACAAGCAUAUGAAAAAAAGCUCAAAGUCACUAACUAUUAGAGAAACGCAAAUCAAAACUACAAUGGGAUACCAUCUCACGCCAGUCACAAUGGCUGUUACUAGAAAUUCCAAUCAUGACAGAUGCUGGUAAGAUUGUGGAGCAAAGGGAAUGCUUAUACACUGUUGGUGGAAGUUCAAAUUAGUUUAAAAUUUACAUUUUAAAAUUUUAAAUGUAAAUCACUGUGGCAAUUCUUUAAACAACUUAAAAUAGAAUUACCAUUUGACCUAGAAAUUUCAUUAUUGGAUAUAUACUCAAUGGAAUAUAAAUUAUUCUAACAUAAAGACACAUGUGUGCAUGUGUUCAUUGAGGUACUCUUCACAGUAGCAAAGGCAUGGAAUCAACCUAAAUGUAGACUAGAUAAAGAAAAUGUGGUAUGUAAACAGCAUGGAAUACUACACAGCCAUAGAGAUCAUGUCUUUUGCACCAAGGUGGAUGCAGCUGGAGGCCAUUAUUCUAAGCAAAUUAACGCAGUGACAGAAAACCAAGUACAGCAUAUUCUCACUUAAAAGUAGGAGCUAAAUAAUGAUAACACACGAGCAUAAAGAGGGGAACAACAGAUAAUGGGGUCUCCUUGAGGAAGGAGGAUGGUAACAGGUGGAUGAGGAUAAAAAAAAAUUACCAAUUCAUCACUAUGCUUAUUAUCUGGGUAACAAAAUAAUCUGCAUACCAAACCCCAAUGAGAAGCCAUUUACCUAUAUAACAAAUCGGCACACAUAUCCCUGAACCUAAUUUUUUUUUAAAGCUACAAUUUGUAUUGUCAACUCACACAAAAACACACUCUAAAUAAAAUACUUGGCAAAUUUCUGAGUCAUGUGGCUUCUAAAUAAAGUAUGAUGUAAUAAACUUAAAAUAUAUUUAUUUUUCCUAUUUUUAUAUAUCAAGAAAGCACGUCACAAACAAUAAUUAAGUGACUAAAGAGGACAUUAAAAUAUGUGAAAAUGAAUCAAAUUCCUUUAUCAUACAGGAUCUAAAAGUCUACUAAGAUGUUACUUUUCUCCAAGCCAAACUUUAUAUACUAUUUAUGGAUUAUUUUUCUAGCAAACUUUAAUAAAUCAUAAUAGACACAAUAUUUGCUCUCAUUUUAUAAAGGAAUAAGUAUCAGAUGUUCCAGGAUUGAUUUUUUUUGUCAUUUUGUUAUACAAUAUUGAAUAAUACAUUCAAGCUCUGCUGUAGGAGAAAUACAUUUAUGGGAGCAAAGGUUUAUUAGGAAAUGUGAAUGUAAUUUACAGUGGCUUUAUCUAGAAGCUUACUUGUAGAGGGAUAUUGAUAAACUUUAAAAAAUUAUGACAUUGAAUUAUUUCUCUGCAUUUUUUUAACAUUAAUGACCAUUUAUGUAGGUGUUUUUAGAGUAUAUUUAUAUUUGUUUCAGAAAAAUUAUUAUAUUAUGUAUUAGGAAAUCACCUUCUCCUAAGUAUAAUAGAGAACACAAACCUGACAUGAAUAGAACUAAGGGUUCUAGGUUAGCCAGAAACAAAGGCAGUGAUUUGCCAACCCUGGGAACAAGGGGAAGUCAUUGUGAGCUACGGGGAAAAUAAUAAUAAAAAUAAUAAGGUGGUUAGUUGUCAGCCACAAUAUUCACCCAGUGCAAGUCAUAAUUUGUAUCCAAAUAUAUUAUUUUGAUGUCAUAAUAGUCAAUGAAGGAAUUUGUCUGCUUUAAUAUUUUGAAAUAUAAACUCUGUAUCCCUUUUCAUUGGUGUAAGCCUUCCAGCUAUAAUGGAAUCAUUAACCAAUGAGGUGCAAUUUCAACAGUUUUGAUUGUCUCUAAAAUGAUUAUUCAGUCAGCCAGGUGGAUAUUUUGCAAUAAUUGCACUGGGAUGUCUCCCACCUGAUGGGUUGUUUUCUCUCUGACUGAUUCUGUUAGAAAAUGUUAUUUUCUAGCUAACUCUUCUGCCCUAAAAUAUCUUGUGUUGGCUCAGGUUACCAAACACUGAUUUGUUUAGAUACUGCUCUGUUGAAUAUAAUUGUGCUGAAAUGACCUGCUUCAGUUUUAGAAGGUGAGUGUGUUUAUGGUCAUAAAAAUGUAAUCUUAGAGACCAGCAAAUAACUCCAAGUAACUUCAGCCAGAUCUAUUGCUGGUGCCAAAUUAUCAGUAGUUAGCUUACCUUACUUAUUUCAAAGACAGGUCUUUUUGGCACAAGAGAAAUUGUACUACUCAUCCUAAAAGUCUAUUUGGUACUUUUAUUUAAAGAUUUGUUAUGUAAUGGUAUUUAUCAAGUAAUUUUAAAGUUUUCGCCACUCAUUCAGCUUUCCAGACUAUUUUUGGAAGAUAUCUCAUUAACAACAGUCAUGUAAGAUUAAUGGGGAGGCAAAUUUUGAAAUUAUUUCUGAUAUUCUUCUGAUAUGGAUCUUCCAUAAAAUAUAAUAACUGAAUGUCUAUUUUAUCAAGCAAUAAUUACUGUUUUAACAUUUAAUAAAGAUAAUCUGUAUAAGUGAAAUAUAUAUCCGCCAAAACACAAAAAUUUUUAAUUGAUUCUCAAAUUAUUAAUGCAUUAUUUUACAAGAACUUUGUAUAAUUUACUCAUGGCAAACGUCCCUUUUAAGGAAAACAGUCUAUGCAUUAGUUUCAGGAGAAAGAAUGUUUUCUUCAAGAGAUUAUUGUGUUUCAGUUUUUUGCAUAUACAAUAUCUGCUGAAGACAUUCAUGUUCAUGAAUCUAUUGUAUUUUUCUUCUAAAGGAUUUAGUGUCAUAAAACAAAAACAAACAUCUAAACAAACAAAAGCAGUGCACUUUCAGAGGUCACAUGACCAGUGUCUGAAAGCCCAACCUCCAUCAUUUUCAAAUUGUGUGUUAGUGUGUGUGUGUGUGUGUGUGUGUGUUUAUGUGGGCAUGUAUACAUGCUCCUGAGUGAACUUGUGUAAGAAAGAUGUGGAUAUAUGGGGUUGUGUGAAGAUGAGAAUUAUUACGAUAAACACCCUAGAACUGGUAUUAAACAUCAGGCUUAUGAGAAUAAUGUUUCAGACUCAUGUGUAUGAACCCAACAAACAUUUAGUUUUUUAAGAGGACUAUCUGCUGUAGUUAGAAAGUGAUGGCGAGGAGGCAAUACUUGGAGCCUGGGCUGUUUCUUAGGCUAAACAAAAGGGCUUAUGUUUGAAUUCUUUAUACUUCUGUACAAUUAUUUUACCCAGAACUCUGAGGCAAUACAAGCCUCUAGUAUAAUUUGUAAACAUAUAUAAACAUGCUUUAUGAGGCUUGAAUUUGGGGACUCUAGCCUAUCAUUUUGUAGGCUUCACCACUAACCUAAAUUCAAUGGUCUUGUGAAAGUUCUGAAAACCAUUGCCCUCUGGGCUACAAAAAUUGAAUACCCUGACAAAAAUACACGUGUGUAUUCUGAUGUAAUUUUUCUAACAUAAUUACUAUAUUAUAAAAAUGUGUUUCACUAAAGGAAUUGCAGUUAAUUGCAAACUCUCAUGAAAUAUCCUGUAUUUAAACAUGUAUAGUUUUCUAAAGGAUAUUUUAAUUGGCAGCUAUGUGUGCUCAUAUUUUGUCCACUCACGUAGCUACUAAGGAAUAUUUAGAGAUCUUUGAACCAACUAAUUUUUCAGGGAUUUUUGCAGUUGUUUUUACAUAAUAAACAUGCUUUCUAUAGAUGACUCAAAUCAAUAACUUAGAAAUCACAAAAUUGUACUUUUAAUAAGUUUAACCCUUUUUUAUUAUGCUUUAAGUUCUGGGAUACAUGUGCAGAACGUGCAGGUUUGUUACAUAGGUAUACGCGUGCCAUGGUGGUUUGCUGCACUCAUCAACCCAUCAUCUAAAUUAGGUAUUUCUCCUAAUGCUAUCCCUCCUCUAGCCCCCCACCCCCGACAGGCCCUGGUGUGUGAUCUUCCCCUCCCUGUGUCUAUGUGUUCUCAUUAUUCAACUCCCACUUAUGAGUGAGAACAUGUGGUGUUUGGUUUUCUGUUCCUGUAUUAGUUUGCUGAGAAUGAUGGCUUCCAGCUUCAUCUAUGUCCCUGCAAAGGACAUGAACUCAUACUUUUUUAUGGCUGCAUAGUAUUCCAUGAUGUAUAUGUGCCACAUUUUCUUUAUCCAGUCUAUCAAAAUGUUGCUAAUAUUUAUAAACCCUUAGAUUUAUGUAUGUCUUAAUGGGGAAUAGUAUUCUUAUUUGAUAAUAUAUUGAAUUAUAAAGCUUAAGGUACAAUUAUGUGUAAAUAAAUAUAUUUUAUAUAUAUGCCUGAAAAGCUAACAUUACAGAGAAAAUGGACAAUGGGAUCAACUUUAAUGAGACUGUUGUAUUUUUCUCAAUUUUGGUCUUCCUGUCUCUCUCUGGAGAGUGACUAUAAAUUUCAGCUCUGCCCUGACAGGGCUCGAGGGAAGGUGGUCAUGGAUGUUUACAGCAUGUCUUUCACAGGAAACUUUGUUAUCCUGGCAGACAGCCUAAUGCCCAGGUGCUCAACCUGUGACCAGGUGUCCCUCUCACCUGGUUGAUAUCAUCAGAUGCCCUUGUGGUUUUUUGUCUGACCUGUGUCCAGUUUGAAUACCAAGAUAGACACUCUAGGAGAGGCCUGACAGGGAGGAGAGUUAGAUUUGAGUGUGUCUGUCUGGCAAGACACAGAGGAGGCAGCAUGACAAAACACAUGAAGGAAUAGAAGCACUUUAUGACUCAUAGAUCCAUGAGAGAAGAGGACUGCCCCUGAUGACCCAUGGGAAGUCCAGAGAUAGCUGGGUGCUUGACCAGGGGGAGAGGGAGAGGGAGAGGGAGAGGAAGAGGGAGAGAGACCGGACCUGUGGGACUUUAAUAAGGUCCCUGAGCAUUAUCUUUAGGCUUUCCCUAGGGUUAUAAAUUGGCUAGGUUAAGGAAAUCACACCCAAAAAGAGAAAAUUAUUUACAUGACUCUAAUGUUGACCAUUAGGUUUUAUUGUGGUUAGCAGCUGUGGGUGUGUUGUUUUGGCCUCACGGGAGUGAGGAACAAGCAGACUAUAUUGCAAAGGAGAAGUUUCAACUAGACCAAGUAUGACAGGUACAACUGGGUUUCAAAUAACUAUGUUGGCCUAAAAAUAGAUGCUGAGGCAGCCACUAUAUUAAACACAUUUAUGACAGAGACAUGUUUAUAAAAUAUAUGGUCAGAAAAGAUUGGAAAUAAUGAGACAAAUGAUCGUAAGCAUUUUGGUGGGAACCAUAAUGAGGCCUAUGGGUCAGUGAAGGCGUGGAUAGAGAGGAGCUGUGGAGGCCGAAACCUGAAACCUCACUGGGGAAGCGGGUCAAUGUGAAGCUUGGCUUAAGAGGAUUAAUCGAAGGAGAUGGCAGAGAACAGCCCAGGGGCAGUGAGAUAUUUCCAAAUCUAUGGAACUGUCCUCUAAAAUAAUGCAUUUGCAAAGGCCUUAUCUGCAUUUUCAGGUGUGAUUAUUGAUCAUUCAUUUACAUGUUAUAACACUUCUCUCCUGGAAGUCUCUCUACUCCAAGAGAAACAAACAUACAAACAUGUACAUGUGUGCUUGUUACAGGUUUUCUUAGUCUAUAAUCCAUUUCCAAAUAUCCUUGAAAUAAAACAACAAUGGAAAGAAGAAGAAAAUACUUCUUCAUAUAUAUUAACUAUAUAUAACUAUAGAUUUUAUCUCUUAUGAGAUUAGCUUGGUUCUUUUAAUUUUUACACAUUUCCCGUGUUUGAUGUAACAAACCAAAACUGAACUUUAACUGAAGACUUACAUUCUAAUUCUACCUUCUGCAGUUACUUUCAUGAAAGUAACUUAAUUUCACCAAGAUUUAGUGUUCUAAUAUUGAUAGAAGAGAGUCGUAUCUUAUCGUAUAUUGCAAAAAUCAAAUAUCACGAUUUUGCACAACACUUGACACAUACUUCUAGAAUUAUUUCUAUUUUUCUUAUAAAUUUUUACAUUUUCAGGACUGUUAUCUAGAUGAGUUAUACCCAUAUGGCGGUAUGUACAAUAUAUUUGUGACUGACACUAUUUGAUGAUUUAAUGCCCUGCUUUGACAAGAUCAUACAUGUAUAAUUUUACUGUUAUUAAAUAUUUUGAACAUCACUCUUCUAUGUUUAUUUAAUUGAUUAAUGAGAGGAAAACAGUUGUUCAUAGAUGAGAAUGGGGUGAAAUGGGACAAGGUGUGGAAAGUCAAAGAUGGGGACUAACAAGGCCACAUCUAGCUUAUAGGUCUGGAUAGCCUAUAUUUAUUUCCUGUAUUGCUUUUUAAGGUAAGAGUAGGGUAAUACUGAAUCUUGUUUUGUUUUUUAAUUUUUCUUUUUUUUUCUUUUUUUUAGUAGAUGUAUUUAUAAGCUCAAAUACUCACAAAUGAAAAAAGAAGAGUGAUUAAUGUUAAAUGCAGGCAUAUGAACAAGAUUAUGUCUGAGGUUUUUUCCAAGAUUAAAAUUUUGUGAACACCUUUCUAAGCGUUUGCUGCUUUAUAGGCAUAAUUAGACUGGGAGGUUUAGAUAGUAUUCUAGGUACUUAAGAAAAAACGUGAACAAGACAUAUAUGUUACAAAAGAGUUUAAUGUCUAAUUACAAAGUUCUCCAUAUAUACUUAAAAAUGAAACUUCAAUUAUUAUUAAAUUUUAUAUAUCAUACAAGAGGCAGUAUCAGAAAUUAAACUACAAGUCCAGUUUAUUUAUUUAUUUAUUUUAUUUUAUUUUAUUUUAUUGUUUAGAUUAUACUUUAAGUUCCGGGAUACAUGUGCAGAAUGUGCAGGUUUGUUACACAGGAAUACAUGUGCCAUGGUGGUUUGCUGCACCUAUCAACCCAUCAUCUAGGUUUUAAGCCCCACAUGAAUUAGGUAUUUGUCUUUAUGCUGUCCCUCCCAUUACCCCCUACCCCUCACAAGUUCAAUAUUUGUUAUGGUGCUUAUUUAGGCUGUAGUCUUGGAUAUAUGUCCUUGCACAUAUAAUUUACCACCACUACUCCUGCCAUACACUACUCUGUGGUAAAUGGUAUGUACAAGAGCAUAUAUUCAAGGCAUAUAUCCACUCUGGUAAAUGAGGCAAAAAGUAUUCAUGGUAAAAAUCGAAACAACAUUUGAUAGUUUAAAAAGAUAAACUAGUAUUUCCUGCUCUAAGAAAAAUAUCUUUUCUAAUAAUUUGUUUAUUGCUGAUUUUUAUUAAACUAUUCACCUUUUGUUUUUUGACUAAAUAAAAUAUAUAUAAUAUAAAAAUAAAAUAAUUGUUUAGAUGAGCUAUUCUACUAAAUAAAAUACAUAUGAUACAAAAAUAAAAGCACUGAUUGUCUAGAUGAGAUACAUGAGUUUAUACCAAAAAAAGAUGAUUUCCUACAAGAAGAGUUUACUUCUGGUUUUUCAUUUAUCUAAAUACUACUUAUGUAAGUUUUCUGUAAAAAAUCAAAGGAAAACACAAGUAAUUUUUUCAAUAUAAAAGUAUUUAGCUAUAACUCACAUUAGUUUAAAAAACAGUGGAAUAGAAUACUAAAACUGCAAAUCAAUUAUGAUCUCUAAAAUAUUUUAAGAAAGAAUGCUAUUUUAAAUAUUUUAGUAAAAUAUAUUUUAGUACAGAAAUCAUCAGAGGGUUAACCAGGUAAAUCUUCUGUCAAUAAUCUGUUAUUAUUUUUAUUCUAUGAGGAUAAAAAAGGUAAAUAUUCGUGUUUUCUAGUGAAUUGUGUUUUUUUGUGUAUUGUAUUUCUAUUGCAUUUAAGAACCAGUAAAUAUUCAAAAGGUUACACAACCCAUUCUGAAAACUCCUACUAAAAUUCUUGUGAAACAGAAGAAUGACUGCAUAAUACAAAGUUAAAAGAAUAAAUACAUCCUAUAUCCUGCUGUGAUAGUCAAAUUUCAGUUUUCUUUUUAAUCUCUGUGAACAAUCUAAUUAGACACAAUUGAUUUCUAGGUCCUUAAGUAGGAGUUAUUUAAUUGAGGGAGUAGUGAUUUUUCAUAAGAAAGUGGUUAUCUUGAGCUGUCCAAUGUAGUAGCCAUUAGCUAUAUAUGGCUAUUUAAAUGUAUAUUAAGUAAAAUUAAAUAAACCUAGAAUUUCAGUUACUCAGCUAUAUUACAAGCGCUCAACAUCCACAUAUGCCCAGUGGCCACCAUAUGGGACACAGAAGAGUGAUAGAACAUUUCCAUCAUCGCAGGAAGUUCCACCCGGAAGCACUAGUAGAAACCUUCUGUUGCAUUGUAUCUACCUCGACAGGUUUUAGUUGCAGAGCUGAAAUUCCCGAUAUGUUAAUGCAUAUCAUGUAACAGCCUUUAACAUAUUAAGCAUAGUUAUGUUUACUUUCUUGUGUGACAGACCCCCUUCUUUUGAUAGGCCUUUAGUGUGAGGAGUUGACAUGAUCUAGUCAGGAGUUGAGCUUAUUUUCAUUUUUGUUGUCAUUGUGAACCUCCGCAUGCUUCAAACUCUUCUAAUGUUUCAUGUAUUUUGGAUGAUUGCUGGGUUGCUUGACUCAUUUUCUCAAUAUUUCUCUUCUACCUCAGCUUUAGGUUUCCCCUAUAAUCCUGCACCUCAAAGAUGCUCUUUCUUCCUUCUUCUUAUUCCUUAAUAGUGGACUAAAGUUUUUUGUUACUUGGAAUUCUAUUUGCUCAUUUCAGCCUUAGUCUUAGGCAUGUGGUCCAUCCCUGGGUGUUAGGAAUGAGAGAAAAUCAAUAUUUCUCACAUCUGCAAUGAUAGGGGAUCUGCUAUGGUCUGGGUCCCAAAGCCCAAAGUUUCUCUUUCUAUUUAUUUCCUCCAGUGGUAAUGGUCUUCACCCUAUACCCUGAGUAUGGUAACGUUUACCAUCCUACCCCAGUGUCUUCAGGCUUUUGUUCAGAAGGAAAAAUAAGAGAGUGGGUCUCGGAUCCCUCCAGUCAAUUCAUCCUGCAGUGGCUGUUCCUUGGCUCUCCUAAGCCUGCCAUGUGUGCGAAGCUUUCUCUAGUCCCCUGCCUUGUGACCAAUCUUUCUAGUGAGCGCCUGUGAGAUGUAUUGCUAAAAGAUGUAGGUGGGUGUAAUUUCCCUUGUUUUUUAUGCUCCAGUAUCAGUAUACUCUCAGCCUAUCCCACAUUCAGCUUUGAAACAUUCAUUAAAUAUUUUACCUGAAUUAUUAUUACUAGUUUGUAUAGCGCCCAGAAUCUGCCUCAGGUAACAAGAGCUUACAUUCACAUCUCUCCCUGGUAGUGUCUCUCUUGUCUUAGGUUUAAUGCUAGUUUUUUGCUGUGUGACCUCAGGUAUCUGAUGGGAUGAAGAAAAACUAUGGUUACAUAGAUUAUAUCGCUUUUCUUCUUGUCAUAGUGAUUGGAGGUAUGUUCCUUUCAGAUUUUUCUAUCUUAAGUAGAAGUUGGGAGAAAAAUGUACAUUAUCAUGUAAAAUAAUAUAUUUCUUUUAAUUUCAGCUCAUUUCUAGUGCCCUACAGUAAAAUAUACUUCUGGUCCUGUUUUUUUAUUAUUAUUAUUUUAUUUUUUAUUUUUCUUCUCUUUCCAAAAUACUUUCCUCUUCUCUCUUUUUUUUUUAAGCUAGACAUGGGUGUGGAGCUGGUUGACUGUGCACUGGUUAUCAACUUGUCUGAGCCUAGUGAGACAGAACACACUCAUAAUCAACAAAUUAUAUAAAUCAUGCUCAUUACAUACAGAUAGGCAGGAAGAGACAACAGCAGUCUGGGAUUUAUUGUGAGCCAGUACUUCAAGGGUCAGAAAGCUGCCUGGGGCAGAUGAAGUCUUUGCUGCAUGUUUCCCACUUGAACUGCAGCUGAGGGACCCUGAAAGGUAUCCCACUCUGGGUUAUAUACCUUGGGGUAAUAUGAAUCACUGAGCUAAAGCACUGAGUUACAUCCUUUUCUGGGAGGAAGCUAAAACACAUCCCGGGCCAUUACAGCCAGCUCUACUCUUAUUUCAGGAUGUUGCAUUCCCAGUACAUUUUAUAGUUAUUCUUGAGAAUUUCAAACUAGAAAGUGGGGAGAGCCAGGCUGGUCAAUCUAAGACCACCCAGGAAACUAUCCUGUAAUGGGUUCUGAUGUUGAUUAACAAAGUGUGAUAUAUAUACUUACGUUACAAAGAAAAAUAAUUAUUUUGGGGCGAAAUUUGAUUUUACUUAUUUUUAUUCUCUUUUCCCCACACAAGUACAUGCUCAGAACUACACACAGACACACACACACAACUCAUCAUUAUCUAUGUUUAGUUCUUUAGAGGUUUGAUCAGAACAUUCAGUGACAGCCCCACAUUGUGUGCAUAUUUUAUUUUUAUUCAAUAUUCAGUAGGAAAAAGACACGCUCUUUUGGAUAUCUGUCUGAUGUAUUUGUAUUAUUUUGUAUUUAGUAUAAAUUCACAUUUCUUCUGCUGGGAUGGUGUCUUUAAGUUUGUUUUUGUUUUUGUUUGUUUGUUUGGUUUGGUUUCCAUUGUUAAUAAAAAAAUUACUGUAUUGUCCUCUAGUGUAAAUAUAAUAAUAUGGCAAAAUAAUGCAGUUAUAAUAAUCUAGAACUUGUGGGGUUUUUUUAAUUACUCCAUAAGCCAGGACUAAAGAGAUUCUUCUGGAUUUUAGUCUCUCAUCCUACCCCAGAUUGCUCACUUAUGGGUUUUGGAUUACAUUGAGUACAGGUCAGAGGAUGCCAGAGAGAGAAAAGUGGUACACUCACAACUGGUUUGUUACAGUACAAAUUCUGGUUUUCUUCCCUGAUUUGUCUGCUCAUAUUUUCUCUUUAGAGUUUUCAAAUAAUUGUCCUCUGAAUUAAGGGAGGUGUGUAUUUACUCCAUCUUAUCUGUUUCUGAAACACUGGUUUUACAUUUUAAAGAUUUGUAGAAUUAUAUACUGUUUUAUAACUCAAUUAGGCACUUCCAAUUUUGUUUAGAUGUUAUAACUAUAAAAAAGAAUCACAUAUUACAAUAUUAUAUUUGAUAGAUACUAUUUUUAAUCUAACCAAUUAGUGUAACUGGAUCCAUAGAUUUAGAAUCAUAUGCCUUUAAAUCUUUUAUCCAGUCAAAGAAUAAUCUUUUAAUUCUCAGUUCUUAAUGUAUUUUCUUUUCUUUUCUAAGAGAAAGGAGUUAAAACAGUUGACCUGAAAUCCAUUUACUAACUCUUCUAGAGGAAUGCAUCUAGGGAAAUAAGAUAAGAAGCCAUAGGAGCUAGUCUAAUCUUCUUGUCAAUUGCACUGGUAAAGAAAGAGAUUAAUAAUAUUUGCUCAGAGAAAGGUACCUCAUCUCUGAAAUGCUGUUAGUAUAAUAUCCCUGGCUAACAUGUGGUAUCUAGUAAGUAAAACCCAGGACCUAUAGUUCUGUGAAGUAGAGCUCCUUGAAAAAUAUCACUUGAGAUACACAAUUCUCUAGGUAGUAUAAAAUGUCUUUGAUGUCCUAUACCAUUCUAUGCCUUGUCAGAAUCCCUUGAUUUUCUUAUUCUUACAAUUAAUUAGUAAAGUUUGGUCUGAUUCAUAUGAGUCUGAACUGACAAUCAAAUCCUAUCUAGUCACACACAUUUCCACUUUUAAUGUUUUCAGGUCACAUUCACUUAUAACUCUUUUUUACUUGCCUCCCUAUUUGAUUUUAUUAGAUACAUUUUUCACUUUGCUGGGGUUGUUUCUUGAGUGAUUACUUUUUCCCCAUGAAAGAGAUGUUCUUUAAGGGCUUAGAACUUCUUCACAGUUGGUGUGUUCCUGAAACUCACUAGGGACAAAAGGUAUAUAAAACUUUAAAAGUGUGUUUCUUACCCUGUUUCCAAAAUUAAAGGUUGAUGCUGAGGGUGCAGGAAUAAUUCUAUGCUGAAUAAAAUGAACUUAUUUAGUUCCAAGUUAGACAAAAUUACUUAGAUAUCAUAUGCAUGUGAUGAUAUUAUGUAUUUUUUUCAAAAUUUUAGUAGAAGUAUCUGUUUUUGAGAAGUGUCUGUUCAUGUCUUUUGCACACUUAAAAAAAUUAUUUAUUUGAGGUUGUUGAAUUUUUAAAAUUCUUUAUAGAUUAUGGAUAUUAGACCUAUGUCAGAUGCAAAGUUUGUGAAUAUUUUCUCUCAUUUUUCUUAUCUGUUUGCUCUGUUGAUAGUUACUUUUGCUGUGAAAAAAACUCUUUGGUUUAAUUAGGUUUCACUUGUACAUUUUGGGUAUAGCCUAGGUUUUCUUCAAGGAUUUUUAUAGUUUGAGUUCUUACAUUUGAAUCUUAAUCCAUCUUGAGUUAAUUUCCAUAUAUGGUGAAAGGUAAGUGUACAGUUUCAUUCUUUUGCAUAUGGCUAGCUAGUUAAACCGGUACCAUUUAUUGAAUCAAGAGUCCUUUCCCAAUUGUUUGUUUUUGUCAGCCCUAUGGAAGAUCAGAUGCUUGUAAGUGUACAGCUUUAUUUUUGCCUUGUCUUUUCUGUUCCAUAGGUCUAUGUGUCUGUUUUUGCACCAGUACCAUGCUAUUUUGGUUACUGUAGCCUCAUACUAUAGUUUGAAGUUCAUUAGUGUGAUGCCUCUGGGUUUGUUCUUUUUGCGUAGGAUUUCUUUGGCUAUUGCUCUUAUUUGGUUCCAUAUGAAUUUUAGAAUAGUUUUUUAUUCUAAUUUGUGAAGAAUGAUGUUGGUUGUUUGAUAGAAAUAUCAUUGAAUCUGUAAUGACCAUUGUAAUAAUAUUAAUUCUUUCAAUCUAUGAGCAUGGGAUAAUCUUCUAUUUGUUUUUAUCAUCAUUGAUUUCUUUCAGUGUUUUGUAGUUCCCCUCAUAGAGAUCUUUCCCCUCCUUGGUUAGCUGCAGUCGUAUUUCAUUUUUGUGUGUGUGGCUAUUGUAAAUGAGAUUGUGUUCUUGAUUUGAUUCUCAGCUUGAUAUAAUUGGUAUAUAGAAAUGCUACUACUUUUUGUACAUUGAUUUUGUAUUCUGAAAACUUGAUACAUUUAUUUGACAGUUCUAUUAGACUUUUGGUGGAGUCUUUAGUGUUUUAUAACUAUAGAAUCAGCAGCAGCAAAGAGAUAGUGUGAUUUUUUCUUUUCCCAUUUAUGUAUGCCUUAUUUCUUUCUCUUGUCUGAUUACUCUGGCUAUGAAUUCCAGUACUAUGUUGAAUAGGAGUAAUGCAAGUGUGCAUCCUCAUCUUAUUCCAUUUCUCAAGGGUAAUGGUUCCAGCUUUUAAUCAUUCAGUAUGAUCUUGGCUAUGGAUUUUUUGUAGAAGGCUCUUAUUAUUUUGAGGUAUGUUUCUUCUAUGUCUAGUCUGUUGAAAGUUUUUAUCACAAAGUGAUGUUGAAUUUUAUUGACAGCUUUUUCUGCAUCUAUUGAGGUGAUCAUAUAGUUUUUGCUUUUAAUUCUGUUUAUGUUGUGAAUUACGUUUGUUGAUUUGCAUAGACUGAAUAAGUCAUACAUCCCAAGGAUAAAGUGUAUUUGAUAAUUGUGAAUUAACUUACUGAUAUCCUGCUGGGUUCGGUUUGCCAGUAUUUUGCAGAGAAUUUUUGUGCACGUGUUUAUCAGGAAUAUUGGCCUGAAUUUUUCUUUCCUCAUCAUGUCUCUGUCAUAUUUUAGGUUGAUGCUGGCUUCAUAUAAUGAAUUAGGGAGUAAUCGUUUCUCCUAAUUUUUUUCAGGAUGUUUUCAGUAGGAUUGGUAGCAAUUUUUUAUACAUCUGAUAUAACUUAACUGUGAAUCCAUCUUGCCUAGGGCUCUUUUUGGUUGGUAGGUUUUAUAUUACUGAUUCAAUUUCAGCGCUCGUGAACGACUCCUGGGUAAAUAACAAAAUUGAGGCAGAAAUCAAGAAGUUCUUUGAAACCAAUGAUAACAAAGAGACAAUGUUCCAGAAUCUUUGGGACACAGCUAAAGCAGUGUUAAAAGGGAAAUUUAUAGCACUAAAUGCCCACAUCAGAAAGCUGGAAAGAUCUCAAAUCAACCCCCUAACAUCACAAUUAAAAGAAUUAGAGAAGAAAGAGCAAACAAAUUCAAAAGCUAGCAGAAGACGAGAAAUAACCAAGAUCAGAGCAGAACUGAAGAAGCUAGAGACACAAAAAACCCUUCAAAAACUCAAUGAAUCCAGAAGCUGGUGUUUUGAAAAAAAUUAACAAAAUAUACAGACUGCUAGCUAGACUAAUAAAGAAGAAAAGGCAGAAGAUUCAAAUAGACACAAUAAAAAAUGAAAAAAAGUAUAUCACCACUGUUUGCACAUAAAUGCAAACUACCAUUAGAGAAUACUAUAAACACCUCUAUGCAAAUAAAUUAGAAAGUCUAGAAAAAAUUGAUAAAUUCCUGGACAAAUACACCCUACGAGACUAAAUCAGGAAGAAGUCAAAUCCCUGAAGAGAUCAAUAACAAGUUCUGAAAUUGAGUCAGUAGUUAAUAGCCUAACAACCAAAAAAAUCCCAGGACCAGAUGGAUUCACAGCCCAAAUCCACCAGAGUUACAAAGAGGAGCUCGUACCAUUCCUUCUGAAAUUAUUCCAAAUAAUUGAAAAGGAGGGACUCCUCCUUAACUCAUUCUAGGAGGCCAACAUCAUCCUGAUACCAAAACCUGGCAGAUACACAACAAAAAAAGAGCACUUCAGACCAAUAUCCUUGAUGAACAUUAAUGCAAAAAUCCUCAAUAAAAUACUGGCAAACCAAAUCCAGAAGCACAUCAAAAAGCUUAUCCACCAUGAUCAAGUUGGCUUCAUACCUGGGAUGCAAGUCUGGUUCAACAUAAGCAAAUCAAUAAAUGUAAUCCAUCACAAAAACAGAACCAAUGACAAAAACCACGUGAUUAUCUCAAUAGAUGCAAAAAAGGCCUUCAACAAAAUUCAACAUCCCUUCAUGUUAAAAACUCUCCUUGAAGAGGUCCUUCACAUCCCUUGUAAGUGGUAUUCCUAGGUAUUUUAUUCUCUUUGUAGCAGUUGUAAAUGGGAGUUCACUCAUGAUUUGGCUCUCUGUCGGUUAUUGGUUUAUAGGAAUGCUUGUGAUUUUUGCACAGUAAUUUUGUAUCCUGAAACUUUGCUGAAGUUGUGCAUCAGCUUAAGGAGUUUAUAGGCUGAGACGACGGGGUUUUCUAAAUAUACAAUCAUCUCAUCUGCAAACAGAGAUAAUUUGACUUCCUCUCUUUCUGUUUGAAUACUUUCUAUUUAUUUCAUUUGCCUGAUUGCCCUGGCCAGAACUUCUAAUACUAUGUUGAAUAUGAGUGGUGAGAGAGGGCAUACUUGUAUUGUGCUAGUUUUCAAAGGGAAUUCUUCCAGCUUUUGCCCAUUCAGUAUGAUAUUGGCUGUGGGAUUUUCAUAAAUAGCUCUUAUUAUUUUGAGAUAGUUCCAUCAAUACCUAGUUUAUUGAGUGUGUUUAGCAUGAAGGGGUGUUGAAUUUUAUCAAAGGCCUUUUCUGCAUCUAUUGAGAUAAUCAUGUGGUUUUGUCAUUGAUUCUGUUUAUGUCAUGAAUUACGUUUAUUGAUUUGGAUAUGUUGAACCAGCCUUGUAUCCCAGGGAUGAAGCUGAUUUGAUUGUGGUGGAUAAGCUUUUUAAUGUGCUGCUGAAAUCAUUCUACUAUAAAGACACAUGCACACAUAUGUUUAUUGCAGCACUAUUCACAAUAGCAAAGUCUUGGAACCAUCCCAAAUGUCCAUCAAUGAUAGACUGGAUAAAGAAAAUGUGGCACAUAUACACCAUAGAAUACUCUGCAGCCAUACAAAAGAAUGAGUUUAUGUCCUUUUUAGGAAACCAUCAUUCUCAGCAAACUAACACAGGAACAGAAAACCAAACACCACAUGUUCUCACUCAUAGGUGGGAGCUGAACAAUGAGAGCUUAUGGGCAUAGGGAGGGGAAUAUCACGCACUGGGGCCUGUAAGGGUGUGGAUGGCAAGGGAAGGGAUAACAUUAGGAGAAAUACCUAAUGUAGAUGACGGGUUGAUGGGUGCAGGAAACCACCAUGGCACAUGUAUACCUAUGUAACAAACCCGCACGUUCUGCACAUGUAUCCCAGACCUUAAAGUAUAAUAGAAAUUAAUUAAAUAAUAAAUAAAUUAAUAAAAAUAAAUUUUAAAAACUCUCAAUAAACUAGGUAUUGAUGGAACAUAUCUCAAAAUAAUAAGAGCUCUUUAUGACAAACCCAUAGCCAAUAUCAUACUGAAUGGGCAAAAGCUGGAAGCAUUUCCUUUGAAAACCAGCACAAGACAAGGAUGCCCUCUCUCACUCCUCCUGUUCAACAUAGUAUUAGAAGUUCUGGCCUACACACUUAGGCAAGAAGAAGAAAAAAAGGUAUUCAAAUAGGAAGAGAGGAAGUCAAAUUGUCUCUGUUUGCAGAUGACAUGAUCCUAUAUAUAGAAACCCCAUUGUUUCAGUCCCCAAACUCCUUAAGUUGAUGAGCAACUUCAGCAAAGUCUCAGGAUACAAAAUCAAUGUGCAAAAAUCACAAGAAUUCCCAUACACCAACAAUGGAAAAGCAGAGAGCAAAAUCAUGAAUGAACUCCCAUUCACAAUUACUAUUACUACAAGGAGAAUAAAAUACCUAGGAAUACAGAUUACAAGGGAUGUGAAGGACCUCUUCAAGGAGAACUACAAACCACAGCUCAAAGAAAUAAGUGACAACACAAAAAAAUGGAAAAACAUUCCAUACUUAUGGAUAGGAAGAAUCAAUGUCAUGAAAUGGCCAUACUCCCCAAGUUAAUUUAUAGAUUCGAUAUUAUUACCAUCAACUUUCCUCACAGAAUUAGAAAAAAACUACUUUAAAUUUCAUAUGGAACCCAAAAAGAGCCCAUAUAGCCAAGAAAAUCCUAAGCAAAAAGAACAAAGCUGGAGGCAUCAUGCAACCUGACUUCAAACUAUACUACAAGGCUAUAGUAACCACAGCAGCAUGGUACUGGGUGCCAAAACAGACAUAAAGACCAAUGGAACAGAACAGAGACCUCAGAAAUAACACCACACAUCUACAGCCAUCUAAUUUUCGACAAACCUGACAAAAACAAGCAAUGGGGAAAGAGUUCCUUAUUUAAUAAAUGGUGUUGGGAAAACUGGCUAGCCAUGUGCAGAAAACUGAAACUAGACCCCUUCCUUACACUUUAUACAAAAAUUAACUCAAGAUGGAUUAAAGACUUAAACGUAAGACCCAAAACCAUAAAAUCCCUAGAAGAAAACCUAGACAAUGUCAUUCAGGACAUAGGUAUGGGCAAAGACUUCAUGACUAAAACACCAAAAGCCAUUACAACAAAAGAUACAAUUGACAAAUGGGAUCUAAUUAAAGAGCUCCCACACAGCAAAAGAAACUAGCAUCAGAGUAAACAGGCAACCUGCAGAAUGGGAGAAAAUUUUUACAAUCUACCCUUCUAACAAGGGUCUAAUAUCCAGAAUCUACAAGGAACUUAAACAAAUUUGAAAGAAAAAAACAAACAUUCCCAUUAAAAAGUGGGCAAAGGAUAUGAACAGACACUUCUCAAAAGAAGACAUUUAUGUGGCCAACAAACAUAUGAAGAAAAUCUCAUCAUCACUGAUCAUUAGAAAAAAGCAAAUCAAAACCACAAGGAGAUACCAUCUCACACCAGUGAGAAUGGCAAUUAUUAAACAACAGUCAGGAAACAACAGAUGCUGGAGAGGAUGUGGAGAAAUAGGAACGCUUUUACACUGUUGGUGGAAAUGUAAAUUAGUUCAACCAUUGUGGGAGACAGUGUGGCAAUUCCUCAAAGAUCUAGAAUCAGAAAUACCAUUUGACCCAGCAAUCCCAUUACUGGGUAUGUACCUAAAGGAAUAUAGAUUAUUCUACCAUAAAGAUGCAUGCACAUGUAUGUUUAUUGCAGCACUAUUUACAAUAGCAAAAACAUAGAACCAACCCAAAUGUCCGUCAAUGAUAGACUGGAUAAAGAAAAUGUGGAACGUAUACACCAUGGAAUACUAUGCAGCCAUAAAAAGAAUGAGAUCAUGUCCUUUGCAGGGACAUGGUUGAAGCUGGAAGCCAUAAUCCUCAGCAAACUUACACAGGAACAGAAAGCCAAACACCAUAUAUUCUUACUCAUAAGUGGGAGUUGAACAAUGAGAACACAUGGACACAGGGAGGAGAACAACACACACCGGGGCCAGUUGAGGGGUGGUUGGCAAGGGGAGGGAGAGCAUGAGGACAAAUACGUAAUGUGUGUGGGGCUUAAAACCUAGAUGAUGGGUUGACAGGUGCAGCAAACCACCAUGGCAUAUAUGUACCUAUGUAACAAACUUGCACAUUCUGCACAUGUAAACCCGAACUUAAAGUAAAAUUUUAAAAUAAAAUAAAAUAAAUAAACUGGACUUGUAGUUUAAUUUCUGAUACUGCCUCUUGUAUGAUAUAUAAAAUUUAAUAAUAAUUGAAGUUUCAUUUUUAAGUAUAUAUGGAUAACUUUGUAAUUAGAAAUUAAACUCUCUUGUAACAUAUAUGUCUUGUUCACGUUUUUUCUUAAGUACCUAGAAUACUAUCUAAACCCGAACUUAAAGUAAAAUAAUAAAAAAAAUUUGAAAAAAAUUGAAACCUUUAAGAAAUAUGGAAUUAUGUAUAGAGACCCAAUAUGUGACUCAUUAGCAUUUAUGAGAAGGAAAAGGAGAGAAUAAGCAACUUGAAAAAUAUAUUUGAGAAUAUAGUUCAUUAAAAUUUCUAUAAUCUCAAUAGAGACAUUCAUAUACAAAUCCAAUAAAGAUGGAGGACCCCAUCUAGAAACUAUACAAGAUGACUAUCCCCAAGGCACAUAGUAAUCAGAUUCACUUAGAUCAAUGGAAAAGAAAAAAAAAGAUCUUAAAAGCAGCUAGAGAAAGGGGUCAAGCCAAGUACAGAGGAGAAUUCAUCAGGCUAACAGCAGAACUCUCAGCAGAAACCUUACAAGACAGAAGUGAUUGGGACCCUAUUUUAUUUAUCCUUAAAGUAAAGAAAUUCCAACCAAGAAUUUCAUAUCCUGCCAAAUUAAAUGUUAUAAGUGAAGAAGAAACGAACUUCUUCUCAGAGAAGCAAGUGCAAAAGGAAAUCAUUUCUACUAGACUAGCCUUACCAGAGGUCCUAAAAGGAAUGCUAAACAUUGAAUCAAAAGAAUGACAUCUGCUUCCACAAAAAUACACUUAUGCACAUAGACCACAGGCACUCUUUGUUUUUAUACUUUAAGUUCUAGGGUGCAUCUGCACAAUGUGCAGGUUGGUUACAUAUGUGUACCUGUGCUGUGUUGGUUUGCUGCACCGAUUAACUCAUCAUGUACAUUAUAUUACCGCAUGUUCUCACUCAUAAGUGGGAUGAUUUAACUGGGGAUGUAGUAAAAAUCUCUAAAAAUGAUUCUUCCAAGUUAUUAAUAUCAGUGUUAAUCUCUGCAAAUCCCCCUAAUAAUGCAACUUUUUUUUCUUUUCUUUCUUUUUUUUUUAUUUAUUUAUUUAUUUAUUUAUUUAUAUUGUCUCACUAUCUUUUUUGGGAUGAGAAUAAGUGGCAGGUGUGAGUGUCAGCUUCAGUUUCUUUCUGCCAUAACAGGACUCACUUCAUGUGUCAGGGAACCAUGUUGGGGAUUCUGCUGGUUAUAUGAUGUAUCUAUUAUCAGUGCACAGUCUGAUAAUCAAGGGAAAACCACAAAGAUAAAUCCCACAGGGAAUCCACAGUGUGAUGAAAUCAGCACAGGAGUCAGUAAAUUCCCUUUCUGUGCACCGUGAUGGUGUUUCAGUUUUGUGAUGCUUAGUAGUAUUUCAGAGCCACUGUUUAUAUAUGCCCUGUCAGACCUAUGUUUCCUUUUUGUCACUGCACAGUAACCAUAGUUAAUGGUCUCAGGUUUGUAUUUGAAAACUUAGAUGAAAUUUCACAUUUAAAAUCCCAUUGCAGGAACCUUUUUGAAAAGUAUCUGGUCUUGUGUUCAUGGUGGUCAUCUGGUUAUGUGAACUGAUACCUGGGUAAGAAGAUAUAAAUUUCCACAAUGGUGACAUGGUGACUCGAGACAUAUUCACUACAUCUACACACACACACACACACACACACACACACACACACAGCUUCCCUCACAUAGAUCAAGUUUCUUUGAUCUACCUAUCACUUGCAUACCUCAGAACACUGUACUCCAUUAGCUAUCACUGAAGAUCACUGCUUUUCAAAACAUUUUGUUUAGGCAACUUUCUGCUUUGCUGUCUAUGGAUAAGCAAAGUCAUAUAGCCUCUACCACUGUAAAGUACAUUAUUUCCUUGAAAUCAGGGAGCUGUAUUUUAUUAUGUCAUCUCCCACCAUCAUGCUUCUCUUACAGACAAAAAAACAAAAAAAGCAAUGACAAAUCAUUUAAAGGAUUCUGGAGCUCCCUUUACCAAAACAUUUCUUAGUGUCUUGAACAGGGUGUGUCUUCCUGAUCUUCUAAGGAAUAUAAUGAGGUGGUAUCUGAGUGGUUGCACAUAAUACGUUAAUCUUAAUAGAAACAUCACUGAAAACUUUAAGACAUCUGCAGUGCGUCUAGAAAAUUACAGCACUUCUAUCUCAUUUACUGUAGACCACAUUUAAGUCUAGGAAUUAAUCUAUGACACCAACACAUUGUUAAUUCUAUUUUCUGAAGCUCAAGAAAGCAUGCUAACUACAGAUUUUGUGUGUGUGUGGGGGGGGCACCAUAAUGUACAUUUGACUAGGAAAAAAAUCCUCUUUUAUCUAAUAUAGUUAGACUGCACUUCUACAACAUGUACCCUAUAGUUGCUGAAAAGAUCUACCACUCAGUUAGUACAUAUAGGAGAUUGCCUCCUUGUACCUCUUCCUCUUUGUUAUGAUAGGACCUAACUCUUAUUAUGGGAUCAGAGGCAAGGGGAAAUAGAGAGAAAAGUUACAAAUAUAGCUGGCUUUCUCUAGUGAAGAAACUGUACGAGGUAAUGUAAAAUUUUGCAAUUUUGUUACAAAUUACAACAGGUAAUAUAAAAUUUUGACCUCCCCUAGAGGAUAUGUAGAAUGGGUAAAGAGAAGGCUGCUAUUCCUGGCAGAAAAAGCAAAAAAGCGCAGGAGAACUUGAGAGGUCAGAGUCAUCUGCCUAAUCUCUGUCUACCCAAAUAUAUUCAACCCAUGUUUCGAGUUUCACAUUUCUCAAGCUUAGCAUAAGGGUUCUGGAGUGGUUUAACAUUUAACUUAACUGGCACUAUAACACUGUGACCCUUACCAUUAGGCCUGUGAUACGGUUUGGAUGUUCAUUCCCUCCAAAUCUCAUGUUGAAAUGUGACUCCCAAUGUCAUAGGUAGGACCCAGUGGGAGGUGACUAGAUAAUGGGGACAGAUCUCUCAUGAAUAGCUAAACACCAUCCUCCUGGUGAUAAGUGAUUUCCUGCUGUUAGUUCACACAAGAUCCUUUUGUUUAAAAGAAUCUGGGGCUUCUCCUUUCUCUCUCGCUUACUUCUCCUCUUGCCAUGUGAAUUGCCUCCUCCUGAUUUGCCUUCUGCCAUGAGUAAAGCUUCCCAAGACCUCACCAGAAGCCGCGCAGGUGUCAGCACCAUGCUUUCUGUACAGCCUGCAGAACCAUAAGCCUAUUAAAACUUUUUUUUGGUAAAUUAUCCAUCUUUGGGUAUUUUUUUAUAGCAAUGCAGGAAUGGCCUAAUACAGUGUUUGCUUGAUGAUUUAGCCACAGCUUCUUUGUAGAACCAUUCACUGCUGUCAAAAGCCUACGAUUUUUUUUCACCUGUGCCCAGAGAUGUCCAUUCAAGUUAUCCAUUAAUUUCAUGUUACAUGUGUUCUCCCCAGAGACAUUAAACAAUCAUGGCACAAUCAGUGUUAUCAUCACUACUGUGAUGAUGACUGACUGCUCAAGCACUUGGUCUCUCAAUGCCUUGAACUCUACCAGAGUGGCAUCCCAUGUUACCACAAGUGAUGAUGUAAGUAAUUGUGAACUACCACUCAAGCCAUUAAUAAAGUGUCUCCUUUCCUUUUUUCAAGGAAUGAGUAACUCGAUUUUUAAAUUUCAUUUUGAAAAUCUAUUUCUUCAUGUCACUAUUACAAUUAAUAUUUUUUCAGUCUGGUCCUGAUGUAAAACAGAUGACACACACAAAAAUAAAAUUAUUAAAGAAAAUUUAAUAAAAUAAUUUUAACUAUAUUUAUUAAAGAGAUUUAAGAAAAGCAACAACAAUGACAAAAACUUCAAAGCGAAAGGAAAUCCCAAAAAGAUGCUGAAGCACCACUGGCCUAGAAAUAGUGGAAAGCUGUUACCAAUCCUUAGGCUUGCAAAAGCAAAGACAAGGAGUGGUUACAAGAAUCCAGAAAUAAUUGUAGAUGUCAUAGUAGAUGGCAGGGCAGAAGAUGUGACCUUAGUAAAGACAGAGUACUACUAACAGUCUGACGUCCAAAAGAGGGCACGAUGAAAAUAAAUGCCCCAACUUCUUCUUCUUAUUCUGGUCUCCUUCUAAUACCUUUUAUAAGCUUUUCUAAACUGUGAGCUAGUAGGCAAAACAGCAAAGUUGAAGCAAACCACGGAUGUCAGGCUUCCGGUUCUCAUGACAGAAUGUAGAAAGGUGAAAGGGUGAUAUGGAAUCUCCAGCACACUGCCUAAUUAAUAUGAAAAAGUCUUUCUACCCUCAAAUUUAAAGAGCCUGUUUUUCCAGCUGAAAGUGCCAGUGCACAUUGGCCUAGUCUUCAGUGUGUUUUGUGGUAGAAUUUAGUUGUUUCCCCAUAUGAUAGUUUCAUUUUGAGCAAUAUCUCAUCUAAGUCAGCUUUCUCUUGCUCCCUAUGUAGAACCUUUAUGUCUGAAAACUAAUAAACAUAAUUUCUGUUCCAUCAGAGCAUAUCUCUGUAUUCUCUUAAUCUUGAUAAUGAACUCUAUCGCUCUGUCUAGACAAGGCAGUGCAUAGGCAGAAAGUAGGGGCAGACAGCUUAGUUAGGGUCCCAGGAACCUGGCAUGUUCUGCUGCACCGAAAACCAAAGUUUUUGUGCCAACUCUUCAUUUUCCAAGUUCUGGAUACUAAGUUUUAUUUAAGUGACUUUUAAAAAUCUGUUUAACAAAUGUAAGUAUGCUUUCCCAUUCACCCACAUACUUGAACUUCACUUGCAUAUUUUUUUCUAUGGAUACAUUCAUUAUGUCUAGAAAUACAAGCCCCUAACCACUGAUUAAAAAAACAUGCUGAGUUCACCAAAUUACCAGAAAAUGCCUAUAAAUAGACAAGAGUGUGUGCCUCCCACACACUGGACACCCUUGAACCUUGGUAAGACGCCCAGCCAGAUUCCUCAUUAUUUUACUUUAUGAAGAUGUUCUUUAACUAAACUAUUUCUUUUUUUUUUUUCAAAUUAUGAAUUAAUGAUUUAUUGCCUUGUUGGUUUCAAAGAUAAUCAAUUGUCGAUUAAGGCUAGAUCUUGGCCAGGUAGGUGACUUUUGAGGUCUCUCAUGGAAUGGCUUUUAAAAAUUAAUAGCUUUAAGGCAGCUGUAGACAUAGCCUUCUUAGGUCUUCCCAGCAGAGACAGAGGCUUCAAAUGCGGGGAGAUUAUGGCAGGAGAAGAGGUGGCUCCGUCUUCCUUGUGUCUGUGGCUGGGUGGGAGAUCCUGCUGGGCAGGGAGCCCGUGGUCGCAAACCUGCAGUUGACACUCUCCAGGCCACUCUCAGCAGAGAACAUAGGAUCUGGCACAUAGAAGGCACUCAAAGCAACUGAGCAUUCAAAGAUGAGUUCAUUUACCUCUAUGGUUUAAUCAAGGCAUGGCCAUGUCCUUUAAAAAUAAACAAAUCAAGCAUAUAGAUACAAUUUAACAAUCGCCUGAUUUGAGUCUUUUUUCUUUUUCUUUUUUUAUUAUACUUUAAGUUUUAGGGUACAUGUGCACAUUGUGCAGGUUAGUUACAUAUGUAUACAUGUGCCAUGCUGGUGCGCUGCACCCACUAACUCGUCAUCUAGCAUUAGGUAUAUCUCCCGAUGCUAUCCCUCCCCCCUCCCCCCACCCCACAACAGUCCCCAGAGUAUGAUAUUCCCCUUCCUGUGUCCAUGUGAUCUGAUUGUUCAAUUCCCACCUAUGAGUGAGAAUAUGCGGUGUUUGGUUUUUGUUCUUGCGAUAGUUUACUGAGAAUGAUGAUUUCCAAUUUCCUCCAUGUCCCUACAAAGGACAUGAACUCAUCCUUUUUUAUGGCUGCAUAGUAUUCCAUGGUGUAUAUGUGCCACAUUUUCUUAAUCCAGUCUAUCAUUGUUGGACAUUUGGGUUGGUUCCAAGUCUUUACUAUUGUGAGUAAUGCCGCAAUAAACAUAACGUGUGCAUGUGUCUUUAUAGCAGCAUGAUUUAUAGUCCUUUGGGUAUAUACCCAGUAAUGGGAUGGCUGGGUCAAAUGGUAUUUCCAGGUCUAGAUCCCUGAGGAAUCGCCACACUGACUUCCACAAUGGUGGAACUAGUUUACAGUCCCACCAACAGUGUAAAAGUCUUCCUAUUUCUCCACAUCCUCUCCAGCACCUGUUGUUUCCUGACUUUUUAAUGAUUGCCAUUCU
rnacentral:lncRNA from 1 species